GCGCGUGAUGAAUAAAUACAAACGACCAAUAAUCGGAAGCGUCAGUAACACCUCACGCAUGACGCCACUUUGAAUGCAAUACUAAUUAUCUGACUC